rnacentral:rRNA from 1 species
UACGUAGGGGGCAAGCGUUGUCCGGAUUUAUUGGGCGUAAAGAGCGUGUAGGCGGUCAGGUAGGUCCGUUGUGAAAACUCGAGGCUCAACCUCGAGACGCCGAUGGAAACCAUCUGACUAGAGUCCGGAAGAGGAGAGUGGAAUUCCUGGUGUAGCGGUGGAAUGCGCAGAUAUCAGGAGGAACACCGGUGGCGAAGGCGGGUCUCUGGGCCGAAAUUGACGCUGAGGAGCGAAAGCGUGGGGAGCAAACAGG